rnacentral:rRNA from 1 species
AUAUCAAUAAGCGGAGGAAAAGAAACCAACAGGGAUUGCCCUAGUAACGGCGAGUGAAGCGGCAACAGCUCAAAUUUGAAAUCUGGCCCCAGGCCCGAGUUGUAAUUUGCAGAGGAUGCUUUUGGCAAAGCGCUUACCGAGUCCCCUGGAACGGGGCGCCACAGAGGGUGAGAGCCCCGUAUGGUAGGACGCCGAGCCUCUGUAAAGCUCCUUCGACGAGUCGAGUAGUUUGGGAAUGCUGCUCUAAAUGGGAGGUAAAUUUCUUCUAAAGCUAAAUACCGGCCAGAGACCGAUAGCGCACAAGUAGAGUGAUCGAAAGAUGAAAAGCACUUUGAAAAGAGGGUUAAAUAGCACGUGAAAUUGUUGAAAGGGAAGCGCUCGUGACCAGACUUGCGCCGGGCGGAUCAUCCAGCGUUCUCGCUGGUGCACUCCGCCCGGCUCAGGCCAGCAUCGGUUUUUGCCGGGGGACAAAAGCUUCGGGAACGUGGCUCCCUUCGGGGAGUGUUAUAGCCCGUUGCUUAAUACCCCGGCGGGGACCGAGGACCGCGCUUCGGCAAGGAUGCUGGCGUAAUGGUCAUCAGCGACCCGUCUUGAAACACGGACCGAGGAGUCAAGCAUUAGUGCGAGUGUUUGGGUGUAAAACCCGCACGCGUAAUGAAAGUGAACGUAGGUGAGAGCUUCGGCGCAUCAUCGACCGAUCCUGAUGUUUUCGGAUGGAUUUGAGUAGGAGCAUUAACGCUUGGACCCGAAAGAUGGUGAACUAUACUUGAAUAGGGUGAAGCCAGAGGAAACUCUGGUGGAGGCUCGCAG